UACGGAGGGGGCUAGCGUUGUUCGGAAUUACUGGGCGUAAAGCGCACGUAGGCGGACUGUUAAGUCGGGGGUGAAAUCCUGGGGCUCAACCUCAGAAUUGCCUCCGAUACUGGCAGUCUCGAAGUGCGGGAGAGGUGAGUGGAAUUCCCAGUGUAGAGGUGAAAUUCGUAGAUAUUGGGAAGAACACCAGUGGCGAAGGGCGGCUCACUGGCCCGUAACUGACGCUGAGGUGCGAAAGCGUGGGGAGCAAACAGGG
rnacentral:rRNA from 1 species